UAGAUUAACAAGAAUUUAAGCUUUCAGCCGAUAUAAGACACUUAUAUGUACCUAAAUGUUUAAUAUCUGUAAUAUUUAUGACUAUUUAUUUGAAUUGCGCGCCCUCCAGUAUCACCAGAAGUUAAUCCCGAUGACGGGACGCCGAUCCUUAAGAAGUUUUUUUAAAGACGACCAGAACCCACUGGAUUUUCCAAUUACAUUGAAUGAACUACAGGACAAAAUGCAAACCCUCCAACCCUAAAAGGCCUGUGGUGUUGAUGGUAUCCUCAAUGAAAUUAUCAAAUAUACAGACAACAAAUUCCAAUUGGCUAUACUUAAACUCUUUAACAUCAUCCUCAGCUCUGAAUGAUAACCCCAAUCCACAAAAGUGGAAUUUGACCCCAAUAACUACCGUGGAAUAUGUGUCAACAGCAAUGUUGGGAAAAUCCCAACGACUCACUUUCACUUUACUUUGAAGAAUCUAAAACAUAUUUUUCCAUAUGUGUUAUUUCAUGGUUUUGAUGUCCACUAUUAUUCUACAAUGUAGAAAACAGUAAAAAAAUAUAUUUAAAAAAACCUUGAAUGAGUAGGUGUGUCCAAACUUUCGACUGGUACUGUACGUAUUUAAGAAAUAUUAAAAUACCCGUGACUUGUCGCAGAAUUACAGGUUGAUGUUGAAAUAUGGUUGGACAGGAAGUCAACAUACAUUCCAAUUAUUAAAUGUCAGUGUACUUUCUGUUUUGACUGAAUUAAACUGGAAUUAACAUCGACCAGGGUGUCUCAGUGAAAUAAUGUCAUACUGUCCUAGCUAACUACAUAGAGAACAGGACAGGUGAGGAGUUAUACUGUCCUAGUUAGCUACAUAGAGAACAGGACAGGUGGAGAGUUAUACUGUCCUAGCUAGCUACAUAGAGAACAGGACAGGUGAAGAGUUAUACUGUCCUAGUUAGCUACAUAGAGGACAGGACAGGUGGGGAGUUAUACUGUCCUAGUUAGCUACAUAGAGGACAGGACAGGUGAAGAGUUAUACUGUCCUAGCUAGCUACAUAGAGGACAGUAGGGGGAGUGUUAUACUGUCCUAGU